GAGACACGAGUGGCUGACACGCUGGACACACCAGCUCAACUCACUGCCUCAGACUCACAUACAUCAUCGCCGAAGUCUCCGAGGCAUAGUAAGAACUUUGAACGAAACGUUGGACACUGGCUUUCGUGAGUUGCCGAUGUUUGUAUUUGCGUUUGCGGAGGCAGUACAUCGCUUCAGUGACAGCGCCUCCGGCAGUCUCCGGUGUUGCUCCCCGGCAAGCGUCUGUGAACACAGCUGACGAUGUUUCUCCUGUUUCGCCGCCUCUGGAUGACGAGGACAUCACUUCUACUCCACUUUCGGCGAUUCCUUUGCACCUGCUAUGACUAGUCAUCUUGGUUCGUUCUGCCAGUCGCCCUCAUCCCCGGCCAUGGCUGGGUUGCACAACACAGCGUGCUACUCGUCCUCGUUCUUGAUGUCCACUCAUUCGUCCUGCUCGGUUGUCCCACGCCUGGCAUCCCGAUCGUCCCGUUCGGCUGUCUCCCACCUGGUGCCCCAGGCGUCUGCCCAAUCAUCAUGUUCGGUCAUGUUACGCUUGGCGUCCAAUGUGGUCCCCGGGUUACGAUCCACCCGACUCAUGUGAUUUCGACUACGACACCGGAGUCUCAUCAGCCAUUUUGUCUCAAGAACCUGACCUUCUAGCCAGACCGCCGGAAUCACGCCAGCCGAACAGCCGGACCCGCGCUGGCGCAGAUCCAACGAGCCGGGCCAGCGGGACCCCCAGCAAUCCGGCCAGAAGGGCAAACUCCACG